GCGAUUAGCAAUAAGUUUAAAGAGAUGAGGAAGAAACAACUCCCACAUACAUGCAGCAGGAGAGGAUAUGCUCGAACAAUGGAUGACAUGAGUAGGGAAAGCUCAAAACCUGUAACAAGAGUUCAAGCUUUCUUAAAGACACACACAAAGAAGAAUGGUGAACCUGUGAAUGCACAAGCUGCUGAAGUUAUUGAGAAGCUACAAGUUCUUGCAAAUGAAAAACCAGAUUCAUGCACAACACAGAAUACUG